CAAUCGCUUCCUGGACUUACGAUCUGUUUGUUGUUCACGUGUUUGUCUGUGUGUGUCUGUUCGAGACCACAUGUGUCGGUUUCGCUUGGGAAAUUGACACCAUGUUUGGCGUGCAACUUAUCGGUGAGCAGGAAC
ensembl:ncRNA F59D12.7 ncRNA